rnacentral:rRNA from 1 species
CCUACGGGCGGCAGCAGUAAGGAAUAUUGGUCAAUGGAGGAAACUCUGAACCAGCCAUCCCGCGUGAAGGAUGAAGGGGCUCUGCCUUGUAAACUUCUUUUGUCUGGGGCGAAAAAGCUCGAUUUAUCGAGCACUGACGCUACCAGAAGAAUAAGCACCGGCUAACUCCGUGCCAGCAGCCGCGGUAAUACGGAGGGUGCAAGCGUAAUCCGGAAUCAGUGGGUGUAGGGGGUGUAUUAACUCCGUAGUGAAAGGCGGUGGCUUAACCAUGGAAUUGCCAUUGAUACUGCAGAGCUUGAAUGAGGUUGAGGUUGGCGGAAUGUGACAUGUAGCGGUGAAAUGCUUAGAUAUGUCAUGGAACACCGAUUGCGAAGGCAGCUGACUGGACCUAUAUUGACGCUGAGGCACGAAAGCGUGGGGAGCGAACAGGAUUAGAUACCCUUGUAGUC